rnacentral:rRNA from 1 species
UGCCAGCCGCCGCGGUAAUACGGAGGGUGCGAGCGUUAAUCGGAAUCACUAUUAUUGGGUCUAAAGGGUCCGUAGCCGGUUUAAUCAGUCUUCCGGGAAAUCUGAUAGCUCAACUAUUAGGCUUCCGGGGGAUACUGUUAGACUUGGGACCGGGAGAGGUAAGAGGUACUACAGGGGUAGGAGUGAAAUCUUGUAAUCCCCGUGGGACCACCAGUGGCGAAGGCGUCUUACCAGAACGGGUCCGACGGUGAGGGACGAAAGCUGGGGGCACGAACCGGAUUAGAUA